rnacentral:sRNA from 1 species
GCUGUUGCUGCUGUGAACCUGGCCACCUGCCACGGGUCCUGUCCUUCAAUGCCGCCUUUGGGCAGCGCUGGCUGGCUUGGGAGGUGACAGCCAGCAAGUACGUGCUGGAGGGCUAUAGCAUUAGUGACAAUAAUGCUGCCUCCAUGCUGCAGGUUUUCGACCUCCGCAAGAUCCUCAUCACCUACUAUGUCAAGUGGCCAGGGCUGGGACCCCAGCCUGACGCCUGCCCCUCCUCUCCCAGAGCAUCAUCUACUACGUGAGCCGCUCACCAAAACUGGAGGUAUGGCUCAGCCAUGAGGGCAUCGCGGCAGCCCUGAGGCCUGUGCGGGCGCCCGGCUAUGCCGACUCGGAUCCCACCUUCUCGCUGAGUGUGGAUGAGGACUAUGACCUCCGCCUGUCUGGCCUCUCGCUGCCCUCCUUUUGCGCAGUGCACCUCGAGUGGAUCCAGUACUGCGCGUCCCGGCGCAGCCAG